AUACAGAAGGCCCGAGCGUUAAUCAGAAUUACUGGGCUUAAAGCGUGCGCAGGCGGUCCAGAAAGUAUCUCGUGAAAUCCCUCGGCUCAACCGGGGAACUGCGGGGUAAACUUCUGGACUUGAGAAAGGUAGGGGCUGAUGGAACCAUGAGUGGAGCGGUGAAAUGCGUAGAUAUUCAUGGGAACGCCGAUGGGGAAGCCGAUCAGCUGGGCCUUUUCUGACGCUCAUGUACGAAAGCGUGGGGAGCAAACAGGAUUAGAUACCCUAGUAGUCC
rnacentral:rRNA from 1 species